rnacentral:rRNA from 1 species
UACGAAGGGGGCUAGCGUUGCUCGGAAUUACUGGGCGUAAAGGGCGCGUAGGCGGCCUGCUAAGUCGAACGUGAAAUCCCUCGGCUUAACCGGGGAACUGCGUCUGAUACUGGAUGGCUUGAGUUCGGGAGAGGGAUGCGGAAUUCCAGGUGUAGCGGUGAAAUGCGUAGAUAUCUGGAGGAACACCGGUGGCGAAGGCGGCAUCCUGGACCGACACUGACACUGAGGAGCGAAAGCCAGGGGAGCAAAGCGGG